GACGAACGCUGGCGGCGUGCUUAACACAUGCAAGUCGAGCGGUAAGGCCCUUUCGGGGGUACACGAGCGGCGAACGGGUGAGUAACACGUGGGUGACCUGCCUCUAGCUCUGGGAUAAGCCCGGGAAACUGGGUCUAAUACUGGAUAUGACCCCAUGACGCAUGUUGUGGGGUGGAAAGCCUUGUGCGGCUAGAGAUGGGCCCGCGGCCUAUCAGCUUGUUGGUGGGGNAUGGCCUACCAAGGCGACGACGGGUAGCCGGCCUGAGAGGGCGACCGGCCACACUGGGACUGAGACACGGCCCAGACUCCUACGGGGGGCAGCAGUGGGGAAUCUUGCGCAAUGGGCGAAAGCCUGACGCAGCGACGCCGCGUGAGGGAUGAC
rnacentral:rRNA from 1 species